UACAUUUUAUUUUAUAGUGAUGAUUUUAAGUGCAAGUUUUGAUAUGCGUGGAAUGUUAGUUUUAUGUUACCUACCUAAGCUCUGCACUUUCUAGAAUGAUAGAUGAAGCUUUGCUGUAGGCUUAAGGAAAUAAUUUAAUAAAAGGAUAAGAAAUAAAGAAGUUUCUGUUUAAUGGUUUGUACGAAGUCACUACAGUCAUGCGUUUCGUUCCUUUUAAAAUCCGUCCGCGUAGGUAUAAAAUAUAUUUUGAAUAGGCGCGGAAUUUGUAAUAAACAAUGAGGCCCUUAUUAGUGAAUGUAUUUAUGGACAAACUAUGAGCCUUCCAACUUAUCAAAUGGUAUACAACAAAUAGCUCAAAAAAUUGUAUAGAGAGAAACAAGUGAAGCCAAGAGUAAACGAUAAGUGAUUGUGAGAUAUAUUCACAUUCAUAAUUACACAAGCAAGCCAUGUGAUUGUGAGAAGAUAACAUUUUUAGUGAGAGCAAGUAUGAGUGAACAAUGGGGGAGAAUUUGAGAGUAUAAUCAUACGCCAAGUAUUCACUGCAGAUCACUGAUACUAAACUCUUUCAAUCUCUCAACACAGAAACAGAGAAAUAUUAUUUUUACGAGAGCGCAAAGAGAUCGCUUCUCCAAGUUAUCGCUGUACUUUGUAGCUCAGCUAUAGAAAAAUGUUUUAGCUGCAGUAUAGCGUGAGCAUAGAUAAAUUGAUUAGAAUCUCUUUUCUUGCUCUCUCGCUUGUCAGCUAGCAGCGGACCCUGAUAUUUUUUCUAAGCUGGCAACAAAACACAAUCAGAGUCCCGUCAACCAGCAGUUAGUGAAAAAGGCGGGAUACCAAAAGAGCAGCGCUAAAACGAACUGCUAAAAUUAGUGCGUUGUUGAAGUUUUGUAAAAUUAGAUGUCAGUAGUUUGUAAAAUUAUUUAUACAUAUACAUAUAUGAGUGACAUAAGCCUACUGGGGAACAGAGCACUCAAAAAUAAUAUCGGUAACGCGCUAUUUGCAUACCUCAGUGGUAAUGUGGAAACUGCAAAAUACCCAAAAGUUGUUUAAAAAAUGACCAGUCUAAUUUUUUUUUAAGCAGUGGCAUCAUUAACAAAUGUUAUGAAAAAUGCGAGUUUUGACAGCUCUCUCUCUCGAACCAAAGAGACUCGUAUCAUUUUAUCUAUGGCGUGAAAAGCAAGGCAUACGAGUUCAGUUUGUUUAAAUUGUGCGUUGUGAACAGUGUAGUUAUAUCAGUUGCCGACAAUUCAUAUAAAGAUUAUACUAUACUACAAUAUUCAAUAUAUCCUUGUGAUUCAUUGUGUGAAGACAUGUGCUCGCAUAGUUUCGAAUAAUAUUUGAAAAUAUGUAACUGGAAAUUAUUGGGAUUCAAUUUUGAAAGUUCGGUAACUAAUAAUGGCUACGGGUUGCAUACAACAUGCUCUACAAAGUAAUUCCGGUGAGCAGAACCGCUUCAUGGAGAUAUUAAUGGCGAAAAUAUUUGCUUCUACGACGAACAGUCUCUGACCGAUGUGACAUUUGAAGUUUCAACCCCAAUCGCUCUUGUACCCGCGCAUAGUUUAAUACUCGCGGCAACGAGUACCUACUUCGAGAACCUUUUAAAUGGCGUUCAAGGCAAUAAUCCCGUCAUCGAGAUGAAUGAUAUCGAUAACGAUAUUUUUGAGCGUCUAGUAACUAUUUGUUACACCGGCCAGACGCUUUUUACCAUUUCCAAUGUCGGUGCCAUGCUGAAGGCGGCAAUCGUUUGCAAAUGUACCCUGCUUUGAACAGUUGAAUGGAUGCAUAAGCACCCUGUAAAGUGUAUUCAUCGAUAUGUGCCAUGAGGUAGUAUUAUCAGAAGCAAAAUUGUAUAUUAAGACUCACCUCCAUGAAAUUCUGUGUUUCGUAUUCAAUGAUUUUCUGCUUAAGAAGUUCACAUUGCGUUUCACGCUCCAGCGUAUAAGCACCCUGUAAUGUGUAUUCAUUUAUACGUGUCAUAAGGUAGUCCACACAACUGGUUAUGGCAUCGUCCAAUUGCAAAACGAUUGCUGCCAUGGCGCCGACAUUGUCAAGGCAAUAAUACCACCAUCGAGAUAAAUGAUAUCGAUAGCGAUAUUUUCGCGUCUAAUAACCUUUUGUUACACCAGACAGCAUGGCACCGACAUUGUUAAUGGUAAUGAGACGUAUUCUGGAUUCUGACAAUUUGAAUAUAACCCGUGAAGAAGAUGCCUUCGAUGCCUUAAAAUGCUGGUUCGAUCACGACGUUCCUGCGCGCCAAAAGCAACUGCUACUUUUAAUAGCUUGUCUCUGGCUUACCAAAUUCGAUGCGGAUUUUCUCUUGACGUACAUACAGCCACUACACAGGUGUGAGCUUCUGGCCUUAAAGGCGUUAUGGUGGAUCAGAGAGCCUGCAGCAUGAACAAAGAUACAGGAGCACGUGGGAUCAGUGCUGCAAAUUGUGAUGAGAAAAUAUUGCUGGCGGUGUGUUCAGAGGUAAGCGCACACUGUGGCUUAUAUUUAUAAAUAAUAAUCCUAAAUUAAUGUACAUACAAUAAAUUUGGAAUAGACGAAUCCCAAGUAUAUAUAACAAAGCUGACGAUAAGUGGCAAGAAUACGCGAGUUUAGAAAUAGAUUAUCAAUGGUAUAGGACUAUUUCAAAGAAUGAUAAUAUAUAAGGUUUUAAAAUAUCUCCCUUCCGAUUUUUUUCUCGUUAUUCAAUGCUUUUUAAAAAUAGUAACAGGGAUCGGAUUUAGUUCAAAUAUGCGCCGAUUCGUUCGAUGAUCUAUUUUCAUCUAGACGGUAACUUCAUAAUACUUCUCUCAUAGAAUCCUCCCUCCUUAUUUGCGAAGAACUGGGACAGCCACUUUUCACAAGCUUUUUUUUGAGUUCAACUUUACACCAACAAGGGCGUUCGCCAUGGAUGGGAAUAGGUGGUAAUCACUCGGCGCUAUGUCCGAGCUAUAUGGUGGAUGCGAUAAAGCCUUCCAUCCGAGCUACCGUAACUUCUGACGAGUCAUCAACGAAGUGUGUGGUCUGGCGCUAUCCUGGUGGAACAGUACACCCUUCCUGUUGGCCAAUUCUUGCGCGGAUAUGACAGAAUAUCACAAUUCUCCAGGUGUAGCUGCACAUAAUGGCCACAUUUAUCUUUUAGGCGAUUGGAGUAUUAACAUAACAGUUGAACGUUAUGAUGCUCAGCAAAAUACAUGGUCUAAGAUUUGCUCUUUGGAAGUUGGCUUUGUUUUCAUAAAUUACGUAUGACUAGACAAGAAAUUAUGAACUAUUGGUGGCAACUUUAGUAUCAUUUUUGGGAGCAAGUGUAUCAGUCUAUGACGAGCAAAAUGACCGUUGGGGACAAAAGUGCUAAUUUCCCGAAAGAAGAAUUCGUUCCUAUUUUGUUGUGCCUGUAGCCUUACUGACAUCGAAAUUAAUGAACGAUAUUAAUAAAUAAAUUUUUUGUAAUAAAUUCUCUUAUAAUAAAUACCAAAAUAUCUGA